AUUGAACGCUGGCGGCAUGCCUUACACAUGCAAGUCGAACGGCAGCACGGGGCAACCUGGUGGCGAGUGGCGAACGGGUGAGUAAUGCAUCGGAACGUGCCAUUGAGUGGGGGAUAACGUAGCGAAAGUUGCGCUAAUACCGCAUAUUCUGUGAGCAGGAAAGCAGGGGGACCGCAAGGCCUUGCGCUCUUUGAGCGGCCGAUGUCAGAUUAGCUAGUUGGUGAGGUAACGGCUUACCAAGGCGACGAUCUGUAGCGGGUCUGAGAGGAUGAUCCGCCACACUGGAACUGAGACACGGUCCAGACUCCUACGGGAGGCAGCAGUGGGGAAUUUUGGACAAUGGGCGCAAGCCUGAUCCAGCCUUGCCGCGUGAGUGAAGAAGGCCU
rnacentral:rRNA from 1 species